rnacentral:lncRNA from 1 species
GCUUUCAUGAAAUGCAACAUAUCACAAACAAUCCACAUCAAGGAUGAACUUGUCACCAAUAGCCCACUACUCAUUCCAAUAGUGCCAGGGGCGUAGACUGGGCCUCACUGGUCUUUCUUUUACAUUACAUUCAUAACAUAACAUUCCAAUAUGCCAAGGGCGUAGAAUGGGCCUCACUGGUCUUUCUCUUACAUAGUGCCAGGGGCGUAGAAUGGGCCUCACUGGUCUUCCAUACCGUAUCAUAUCAUAUCAUAAUGUAGUGCGGCUAAAGGAUCAUCCAACAUUCACCCACAUCAACAACAUAUUAUGCAAUGCAACAUAUUCGUGAAAUCUAAUGCAAGCACCCUAGUAUAUCUCAUGGCAUUCAUGAUGCGUGUAUCAUGCUCAGAAUUUAUUUAUUUACUUUGAAACGAAAUAAGAUAU